rnacentral:lncRNA from 12 species
GGGCAAAGAGGCACAUUCAAGAUCAAGGACAUAGAAUUUGGAGAAGUGGAUAGGUGUCAGAAGCGCCACACAGUACCUCUGAGAGCCCAACUCCAUGGCAAGAACAAACAUGAAUUACAAGCAAGUACAGGAUUUAUUGCCCACGUGGAAAAGGAAGAACUUCCUCAAAAGGGAGGGUGGAAAAGCUAAGGACCAACAUAUUGUAUCCCCUCCUUCCUUGACUGGGGCGUCAAAACCUCCAGUCGCAUGGAAUAAAAAGAAAGAGCCCCAGAGUCUUUUCAUGUCCUCGAGGCUGUAUGGAAAUUACAGAGUGGACAGUCGCAGAGCAUGGCCCAGGCUGCUGGGGUCACCGGGGACCAAGGCCGAAGGGGAUCCUCAGUUUUGCGGAUGCAGGAGCCCAAGUGUGUCUGCUCUACCAGGGCCUAAAGGGAUAUCUGAGAGCUGUAGCUUAACAAAUUUACCAGGUACUUUUUUUCUACAACAUUCUUUUAUGCAUCUUUACCCCCCUCCCACCCUCCAAGACUCUGGUGGUGAAGAAGUCCAGACAUUAGUUUCUCUUUAGAAUUGGAUCAGUAGCUGAGAGGUACCAGAGGUAAACGGAUGCGGGACAGAACCCCGGUCUGAACCCUGGAUUACGCACGUAAGGACUGUGCCUGACCUUGGUUGAACCACGCAAACCAUCAUUCACCUGAAGUCAGCCUCCUCGAUGUCGCCUUUAACCUGCUGGUCCCAAGUCCAAUAGACCUUUUUUUAUUAAAACCUCACUUAACCUCUUUAUGGCUUUGGUGCCUGCUGAUUACCCUUCUUCGUUGGGCUUGCAGACCACCACCCUUCUGGGUUUCCUCCCACCUGGCAGGUGGAUGAUUCUUCUCCUUAUUCUUUAGCUCACUCCUUGCAUCUAGGCUCUGACUUCAGUACUCAAUUAUUUGGUACUUCAGUUUUUUGGGUUUAAAUCCCUUUCCCUGGGUGGCCUCAUCCAAACCUAGAGUCAAGAUCCAGACCUUUCUCCUGAGACCCAGAACUCUACAACGGGCCCUCCCCCCUGGAACAAGCCAUAGAGACCAAAGAGUGAUAGACUCCAAACCGGGCUACACAUCUAUCUCACCCCACCCUCACCCCC